GAUGAACGCUGGCGGCGUGCCUAAUACAUGCAAGUCGAGCGAACGGACGAGAAGCUUGCUUCUCUGAUGUUAGCGGCGGACGGGUGAGUAACACGUGGAUAACCUAUCUAUAAUACUGGGAUAACUUCGGGAAACCGUAGCUAAUACCGGAUAAUAUUUUGAACCGCAUGGUUCAAAAGUGAAAGACGGUCUUGCUGUCACUUAUAGAUGGAUCCGCGCUGCAUUAGCUAGUUGGUAAGGUAACGGCUUACCAAGGCAACGAUGCAUAGCCGACCUGAGAGGGUGAGCGGCCAGCCUGGCACUGAGACACGGUCCAGACUCCUACGGGAGGCAGCAGUCGGGAAUCUUCCGCAAUGGGCGAAAGCCUGACGGAGCAACGCCGCGUGAGAGAGGAAGGUCUUCGGAUCGUAAAACUCUGUUAUUAGGGAAGAACAUAUGUGUAAGUAACUGUGCACAUCUUGACGGUACCUAAUCAGAAAGCCACGGCUAACUACGUG
rnacentral:rRNA from 1 species